GGCGGACAGGUAAAUUUUAAUAGCGGCCGAAAGCGUCAGUAAUACGGGCCGCAGCAGCGCGGUUCAGUGCAACGGUCGGCAAUCGUACGGCGCGACGCGCGUCGUAUAUCUCUCGCGCGCGGUGUCGUCGUGUUACACGGUCCAGCGCGGAUCCAUCAGGUGGUGCGCGACGGCGGUGCGGUCACGGAAACGGUGGUCGUCGUCGCGCGAACACCCGCGGGCCUGCGAGGGGUGGGGGCGAGAGGGAUGGCGAUUCGGCAGCGGUACGCGUUCGUAGCGAUCGUGAGACUGACACACGCGCGCGCACACAC